UGUUUUUUUGUUUUGUUUUGUUUUUUAUUUAUUUUAUCUAAGACUGUUUUUUUAAUUAGAGCAUUAUAGUUACACAUAGUAGCUGGGCUCAUUUUGACAAAAUCAUACAGUGACAGAAAUUGAUUUCAAUCCUCAUUGCCCCCCCCACAUACACCACCUUUCCCUUCCCUCUUCCCUCUCCAUCUCUUUCCUCUGUUCUACUGAUCUUCCUUUCACCAAUUUAUUUAUUUAUUUUUAACUGAUCCCUUCUACAUAUAAAGGUGAAAUUCCCUGUGGUUCAUUUAAACAUGCAUAUAAUGUGGGUUUUUUUUAAUUUCAUUCCAUAUUUCUUCCCCCUUCCUGUCCUUCUUCCCUCCCUCUCGUUCUCCUUCUUCUACUCCACUGAUCUUCCCUAUAUUUUUAUGAUAUCGGAUCCUCCUCCUUUCCCUUAAUUUGGUCUAGCUUUCACAUAUGAGAAAAAACAUUUGACCCUUGACUUUCUGCAUUUGACUUAUUUACAUGAUGUUCUUCAGUUCCAUCCAUUUACCAGCAAAUGCCAAAAUUUUAUUCUUCUUUAUGGCUGUGUAAAUCUCUAUUGUGUAUACAAACCAUAUUUUCUUGAUCUAUUUAGCUAUUGAUGGGUAUUGAGACUGAUACCAUAAUUUGGAAUUGUGCUGCUAUAACAUUGAGAUGGCUGCAUCACUAUGGUAUGCUCAUUUUAGUUCUUUUGGAUAAAUACCAAGGAGAAGGAUGGCAGGGUCAUAUGGUAGUUCCAUUCCUAGUUUUUGAAGAACUCUAUACUGAUUUCCAGAGUAGGCAUACUAAUUUGCAGUCCCACCAACAAUGUAUAAGUGAAUAUUUUUUUCCCACAUCCUCACCAGCAUUUAUUACUAUUUGUGUCCUUGAUAAUGUCAUUCUGAGAUGAAAUCUCAGGGUAGUUUUUGAUUUGCAUUUUCCUGAUUUCUGGGGAUGGUGAAUAUUUUUUCAUAUAUUUGUUGGCCAUUUGUUUUUCUUCUUUGAUAAAUGUCCAUUUAGUUAUUUUGCCCAUUACUGAUCAGGUUAUUUGUGUGUUUUGGCAUUAAGCUUUUUUGAGUUCUUUAUAUAUUCUGGAUAUUAAUCCCUUGUAUGAGGAGUAGCUGCCCAAGAUUUUCUCCCAUUCUGUAAGCUUUCUCUUCAUGCUCUUAAUUAUUUCCUUUUCUGUGCAGAAGUUUUUAAUUUUAUGGCCUCCCACUUAUUGACUCUUGGUUUAUUUCUUAAGAUUUAGGGGUCUUGUUGAGGAAAUUGAUGCCUGCACCUAUAUGAUGGAGUAUUGACCCUUUAUUUUCUUCUAGCAGUUGAAAUGUUUCUGGUCUAAUUCCUAAGCUAAAGCCAUUUUUUAAAAUGGCAAUAAUCACAAAGUAAGAUAUUGAUAUAACUGAAUGCCUGAAAUUUCAAAACUUCUAUACAAAAAAAAAAAAAAAAANCUAGCUUUCACAUAUGAGAAAAAACAUUUGACCCUUGACUUUCUGCAUUUGACUUAUUUACAUGAUGUUCUUCAGUUCCAUCCAUUUACCAGCAAAUGCCAAAAUUUUAUUCUUCUUUAUGGCUGUGUAAAUCUCUAUUGUGUAUACAAACCAUAUUUUCUUGAUCUAUUUAGCUAUUGAUGGGUAUUGAGACUGAUACCAUAAUUUGGAAUUGUGCUGCUAUAACAUUGAGAUGGCUGCAUCACUAUGGUAUGCUCAUUUUAGUUCUUUUGGAUAAAUACCAAGGAGAAGGAUGGCAGGGUCAUAUGGUAGUUCCAUUCCUAGUUUUUGAAGAACUCUAUACUGAUUUCCAGAGUAGGCAUACUAAUUUGCAGUCCCACCAACAAUGUAUAAGUGAAUAUUUUUUUCCCACAUCCUCACCAGCAUUUAUUACUAUUUGUGUCCUUGAUAAUGUCAUUCUGAGAUGAAAUCUCAGGGUAGUUUUUGAUUUGCAUUUUCCUGAUUUCUGGGGAUGGUGAAUAUUUUUUCAUAUAUUUGUUGGCCAUUUGUUUUUCUUCUUUGAUAAAUGUCCAUUUAGUUAUUUUGCCCAUUACUGAUCAGGUUAUUUGUGUGUUUUGGCAUUAAGCUUUUUUGAGUUCUUUAUAUAUUCUGGAUAUUAAUCCCUUGUAUGAGGAGUAGCUGCCCAAGAUUUUCUCCCAUUCUGUAAGCUUUCUCUUCAUGCUCUUAAUUAUUUCCUUUUCUGUGCAGAAGUUUUUAAUUUUAUGGCCUCCCACUUAUUGACUCUUGGUUUAUUUCUUAAGAUUUAGGGGUCUUGUUGAGGAAAUUGAUGCCUGCACCUAUAUGAUGGAGUAUUGACCCUUUAUUUUCUUCUAGCAGUUGAAAUGUUUCUGGUCUAAUUCCUAAGCUAAAGCCAUUUUUUAAAAUGGCAAUAAUCACAAAGUAAGAUAUUGAUAUAACUGAAUGCCUGAAAUUUCAAAACUUCUAUACAAAAA
rnacentral:lncRNA from 1 species